CAGCCGCCGCGGUAAUACAGAGGGUGCGAGCGUUAAUCGGAUUUACUGGGCGUAAAGCGUGCGUAGGCGGUUUGUAAAGACAGAUGUGAAAUCCCCGGGCUCAACCUGGGAACUGCAUUUGUGACUGGCAGGCUAGAGUAUGGCAGAGGGGGGUGGAAUUCCGCGUGUAGCAGUGAAAUGCGUAGAUAUGCGGAGGAACACCGAUGGCGAAGGCAGCCCCCUGGGCCAAUACUGACGCUCAUGCACGAAAGCGUGGGGAGCAAACAGGAUUAGAUACCCCGGUAGUCCCUGUCUCUUAUAC
rnacentral:rRNA from 1 species